rnacentral:rRNA from 1 species
UACGUAGGGGGCUAGCGUUGUCCGGAUUUAUUGGGCGUAAAGAGCGUGUAGGCGGCCAUGUAGGUCCGGUGUGAAAACUCGAGGCUCAACUUCGAGCUGUCGGUGGAAACUUUCUGGCUAGAGUCCGGAAGAGGAGAAUGGAAUUCCUGGUGUAGCGGUGAAAUGCGCAGAUAUCAGGAAGAACACCCGUGGCGAAGGCGGUUCUCUGGGACGGUACUGACGCUGAGACACGAAAGCGUGGGGAGCAAACAGG